rnacentral:rRNA from 1 species
UACGUAGGGUGCGAGCGUUGUCCGGAAUUAUUGGGCGUAAAGAGCUCGUAGGCGGUUUGUCGCGUCGACUGUGAAAACUGGGGGCUUAACUCUCAGCUUGCAGUUGAUACGGGCAGACUUGAGUUCGGUAGGGGAGACUGGAAUUCCUGGUGUAGCGGUGAAAUGCGUAGAUAUCGGAAGGAACAUCAGUGGCGAAAGCGACUUCCUGGACCAGUACCGACGUUCAGGCACGAAAGCGUGGGGAGCAAACAGG